ncrna:unclassified sequences RT-18 RNA
CACCACUUGGUGAAAAUUAGGCCGUAAAUGGCACUGGUUAGUAGCAUGAUCGAAAGCCAGUGAGGCUGACAAAGAG